rnacentral:rRNA from 1 species
UACGUAGGGUGCGAGCGUUGUCCGGAAUUAUUGGGCGUAAAGGGCGCGUAGGCGGUGCCACAAGUCACCUGUGAAAUCUCCGGGCUUAACUCGGAGCCUGCAGGCGAAACUGUGGUGCUGGAGUGUGGGAGAGGUGCGUGGAAUUCCCGGUGUAGCGGUGAAAUGCGUAGAUAUCGGAAGGAACACCUGUGGCGAAAGCGGCGCACUGGACCAUAACUGACGCUGAUGCGCGAAAGCUAGGGGAGCAAACAGG